GUGGAGGACUUCUUCUGUUCUAGCUGUGCUUAAAGUCAAUGUUUCUUUCUAACAGCUAUCAUGAUGUUACACUGUUUAUUUCUUCUGGUUUCAACAAUGGUGGGUGACAGUUUUGAAAACAUAAUUACAUCAGCAACCAAGGAAUUUCAUCUCAUGGAGGGUGGCAAUGCUACACUGUCAUGCAACUAUUCCGGUAGCGCUAACAGUCUACACUGGUAUCGGCGAUACCCCGAAUCCAAGCCUGAAUUCCUCAUCCUCAUGGCUAUAAGCGGAGAAAAGACAGUCGGACAGUUCACUAUUAAACUUGAUGAAAACAAAAACACUGUACAACUGAAGCUCUCCUCUGCUGAAGUGACAGACUCUGCUCUGUACUACUGUGCCCUGCAGCCCACAGUGACAGGAAACACAUUUUCUCUGUACAAAAACCUGACACUGCCUGAGACAACAUUGAAAAACAAAAUGCAUAAACAGAGCAAUGUUUCCAUCACUAGGCAAAAUGCAGAGCUGAAGACACAGUUACCCAAUCCACACAAGAUGUGAUUGCUAUUGAAGGACAAUCUGUGACACUUCGCUGUACUUACAGCACAAUCGGUACACAAAUUGAUCUUUUCUGGUACAUACAAUAUCCAAACGACUUUCUGAAGUACAUGCUGAGACGGGAUAAAUUUACAGCGGGGGAAAC